CCUACGGGGGGCUGCAGUGGGGAAUAUUGCACAAUGGGGGAAACCCUGAUGCAGCGACGCCGCGUGAGUGAAGAAGUAUUUCGGUACGUAAAGCUCUAUCAGCAGGGAAGAAAAGGACGGUACCUGACUAAGAAGCCCCGGCUAACUACGUGCCAGCAGCCGCGGUAAUACGUAGGGGGCAAGCGUUAUCCGGAUUUACUGGGUGUAAAGGGAGCGUAGACGGCAGCGCAAGUGUGGAGUGAAAUCCCAUGGCUUAACCAUGGAACUGCUUUGGAAACUGUGCAGCUAGAGUGCAGGAGAGGUAAGCGGAAUUCCUAGUGUAGCGGUGAAAUGCGUAGAUAUUAGGAGGAACACCAGUGGCGAAGGCGGCUUACUGGACUGUAACUGACGUUGAGGCUCGAAAGCGUGGGGAGCAAACAGGAUUAGAUACCCGAGUAGUC
rnacentral:rRNA from 1 species